AAACAGCCCCCUAUGUUUUGAUUCUUUGGCAGUUUUGGACCCCCAAGGCAAAAAAUAAAUAAAAAAAUUGACACGUGGCACCUCACUUAGGGUGCCACGUCAGCGUUGACCGAGUCAACAAUGAACUGGGGGUCCAAAAUUGCAAAAGAAUCAAAACAUAGGUGGCUGUUU
rfam:Medicago truncatula strain A17 chromosome 4, whole genome shotgun sequence.